GAUGAACGCUGGCGGCGUGCCUAAUACAUGCAAGUAGAACGCACAAGUGAGGAGCUUGCUCCUCUUGCGUUAGCGGCGGACGGGUGAGUAACACGUGGGUAACCUGCCUUUUAGAGUGGGAUAACUUUGGGAAACCGGAGCUAAUACCGGAUAACAAUUUGUAACACAUGGCUUUAAUGUGAAAGACGCAUUUGCUGUACCUUAAGAAUGGAUCCGCGUCGCAUUACCUAGUUGGUAAGUAAACGGCCUACCAAGGGAACGAUGAGAAGCCGACCUGAAGGGGUGAUCGGCAACACUGGAACUGAGACACGGCCCAGACUCCUACGGGAGGCAGCAGUAGGGAAUCUUCCGCAAUGGGCGAAAGCCGGACGGAGCAACGCCGCGUGAGGGAUGAAGGUCUUCGGAUCGUAAAACUCGUUUAUUAGGGAAGAACAAAUGUGUAAGUAACUAUGCACGUCUUGACGGUACCUAAUCAGAAAGCCACGGCUAACUACGUG
rnacentral:rRNA from 1 species